rnacentral:rRNA from 1 species
UACGAAGGGGGCUAGCGUUGCUCGGAAUCACUGGGCGUAAAGGGCGCGUAGGCGGCGUUUUAAGUCGGGGGUGAAAGCCUGUGGCUCAACCACAGAAUUGCCUUCGAUACUGGGACGCUUGAGUCUGGUAGAGGUUGGUGGAACUGCGAGUGUAGAGGUGAAAUUCGUAGAUAUUCGCAAGAACACCGGUGGCGAAGGCGGCCAACUGGACCAGUACUGACGCUGAGGCGCGAAAGCGUGGGGGAGCAAACAGGAUUAGAUACCCUGGUAGUCCACGCCGUAAACGAUGAAUGCCAGCCGUUGGGGGGCUUGCCUCUCAGUGGCGCAGCUAACGCUUUGAGCAUUCCGCCUGGGGAGUACGGUCGCAAGAUUAAAACUCAA